GAUGAACGCUGGCGGCGUGCCUAAUACAUGCAAGUCGAGCGAAUGGAUUAAGAGCUUGCUCUUAUGAAGUUAGUGGCGGACGGGUGAGUAACACGUGGGUAACCUGCCCAUAAGACUGGGAUAACUCCGGGAAACCGGGGCUAAUACCGGAUAACAUUUUGAACCGCAUGGUUCGAAAUUGAAAGGCGGCUUCGGCUGUCACUUAUGGAUGGACCCGCGUCGCAUUAGCUAGUUGGUGAGGUAACGGCUCACCAAGGCAACGAUGCGUAGCCGACCGGAGAGGGUGAUCGGCCACACUGGGACUGAGACACGGCCCAGACUCCUACGGGAGGCAGCAGUAGGGAAUCUUCCGCAAUGGACGAAAGUCUGACGGAGCAACGCCGCGUGAGUGAGGAAGGCUUUCGGGUCGUAAAACUCUGUUGUUAGGGAAGAACAAGUGCUAGUUGAAUAAGCUGGCACCUUGACGGUACCUAACCAGAAAGCCACGGCUAACUACGUGCCAGCCGCCGCAGUAA
rnacentral:rRNA from 1 species